rnacentral:sRNA from 1 species
AAGUCGUAACAAGGUCUCCGUUGGUGAACCAGCGGAGGGAUCAUUACCGAGUACUAUAACUCAUAACCCUUUGUGAACCUUUAUACCUGUUGCUUCGGCGGCGCGCCUCCCGGGGCGUGCCCGCCGGCAUUAUCAGAAUCUCUGUUCGAACCCGACGAUACAUCUGAGUGUUCUAAGCGAACUGUUAAAACUUUCAACAACGGAUCUCUUGGCUCCAGCAUCGAUGAAGAACGCAGCGAAACGCGAUAUGUAAUGUGAAUUGCAGAAUUCAGUGAAUCAUCGAAUCUUUGAACGCACAUGGCGCCUUCCAGUAUCCUGGGAGGCAUGCCUGUCCGAGCGUCGUUUCAACCCUCGAGCCCCCGUGGCCCGGCGUUGGGGAUCUGCCCAGGCAGUCCCCGAAAACCAGUGGCGGACCCGUUGGGCCCUUCCUUUGCGUAGUAACAUCUGCCUCGCAUCGGGAGCCUGCGGGCUAUCCGGCCUCUAAACCCCCCUCAAGCCCGCUCCGGCGGCACCAAGGUUGACCUCGGAUCAGGUAGGAAUACCCGCUGAACUUAAGCAUAUCAAUAAGCGGAGGAAAAGAAACCAACAGGGAUUGCCUCAGUAACGGCGAGUGAAGCGGCAACAGCUCAAAUUUGAAAUCUGGCUCCUUCGGGGCCCGAGUUGUAAUUUGCAGAGGAUGCUUCGGGUACGGGUUCCUUCCGAGUUCCCUGGAACGGGACGCCAUAGAGGGUGAGAGCCCCGUCUGGUAGGACACCCAGCCCGUGUGAAGCUCCCUCGAC